rnacentral:tRNA from 1 species
AAUAUUUUUGGGAUUUUAUAGUUCCACAGUCUAUCGUUUAUAUUAACUUAA